UUUAUAUAUAAACUAAGGUAAUAAAAUAAAUCUAAACCUAUUUAAUUUGACAGUUAUCAUAACCCAGAGAAACUCGUUUUAUAAUCGAAAAUACCCGAUAAAUUUUACUUUAUAUUUUUCAAAGUUUAUAUACCGCCGUCAAAACUCUAAAAAACUAAUAUUUUCAUUUAUAUAAUAUAUAUUCCAAAAGUCAGGUCAAGGUGUAACCAAUAAUAAAGAAAAAAUAAGUUACAUUUUAUACUAUUUGAUAAUAUUUAUAAAACUUAAACUCAAUUAAAUUAUAUUAAUCAGGAAGUACUUUAUAAUUAAAAUUUAAAAAAGAAAAUUAAAAUAAUAAUGU
rnacentral:rRNA from 1 species